UUUUUGAGGGGAGCUAGUGGGGGCUUCUUCGAGGGUUGACAUGACACCCCGCCCCCCGGGUGGCAGGAAGACAGUGCUAAACUCCCAGGAGCCAGGUGUGAGGUUGGAGGCGGCAUUCCUUUGCAUCAAUGUCAGGGAUCCCAGGUUAGACCCAGCCUGGGAUCUCCAGAGCGGAGAAUGCUAAAAAUGCAGAAGGAAGGGGGCGAUCCAAACCCACAUUGCCUCUGAUGCAGACAGCGAGGGGGCAUUCUAGGGGAGCAGCCAGGAGCCCCUCCUGAGACAGAAAAGCCAGGUUGCCCCUGGAGCCUCAGAGAAAGAGCAACAAGUAGUCCCCUCCCCCGCCCCCACAUAGCUGUCGGGAUAGUCUGUAUUUGAAAGAGAAAGACAACUGGGACUCCAGGUAGGACUGGCUGCAAACCAUUCCAUUAGGGCAGUGUGUGUGUGUGUGUGUGUGUGUGUGUGUGUGUGUGUGUGUGUGUGUGUAUUCUGAUCCUGAUUUGUCAGAUGGAAGCACAGCUGGAACUAUAGGUGGGAGCAAAGAAUUAGUCUUUCCGCCGCCUACCUCCUUUUUCCUGAAACUCCACUGGCAGUCAGCUCCUGCUAGCAAGUGUGUGUGGCUUGCCCUUUUGUCCCAUGCCAGAGCUCAAAUGACUAGAACCUACCGAAUCAAUGGUGCUAAAUCCCCAUCAGGAGGAAGAGAACAGAAAGUCUGAGUGGCCAUCCCAAGCCACACUGCCAAGCUGGGGCAGAGCCACAUGGAGUCACCUUGAUGAGCCAAGUUCUCAUCUUCAGGGCUUUCCAGGCUUAAAUCAUACUCCUUGGACGAUGGUGGAGAAGGCAGCUGAGGGCAUGUCCCUCUAGGUUUAACUCUACUCUGAAAUAUGUUUUCAUCCCAUCUGGACCCCUGCUAAACUAGGUCCACUGACAAUAACGUCCAGGUGCACUCUGAGGCAUUAAUCAGUGGUUUAUUGAUCCUGGGAGCUCAGAGAACAGAAGCAUCACAAGCAAGCACAAAUGGCCAAGGCUGAUAAACUUCACAUAUUUGUUAACCAAGAGGUCCUGGACUUCUAGGAUAGGACACAGGUUUUUAAAGCAGGAGGAUCAAAAUUCACAAAGGUCUACCAUGUGUCAGGACCUGUGUGAGGGUGUCAUAUCAUCUUACUUAUCCCUCUUAACUAUCUUGACAGGUUAUUAUUCCUAUUGUACAGGUGAGGAAGCUGGGGCUCACAAAAGUUAAGUGCUAUGUCCAAGUUACAGUUUGUGGUGUCAGAGGUGGGACUUGAACUCAGGCAUAUUUGUCUCCAAAAUGCAAGUUGUUAAAGCAGAUCCGGAACACUUCUUCCCAAAUUUAGGAAGGGAGCAAUCCUUUCUAUGCCUUAUCCCUGAUUACACACAUACACACACACACACACACACACACAUACACACAUGUCAGUUCCUCACUUAUAUAAAACAGCUCUAUGCCUUUUUUUUCUACCACACCACACCUCUGUUGUCUUUUUUUCUUUCUUUCUUUCUUUUUUUUUUCCAGCUCCAGGCCCUCUCCUACAGGAAGACUUCCUGGAUUAAUCUGCUAAUCUUCAGCUCAUCCACCUGUUUAAUAGGUGAUUGGAGAACGGUUGAUAUCUCUAGCAGACAUCAUUUGCCCAGAGCAGUGUUUACCUGUUAAUGUCACCAUCCCUUCCCGGAGACCAGGGUCAAACACACUCCUCAUGCUGUUCUGCUUCCUGUCCAUGGCCUUAAGGUCUUCUCAAAGUCUUCUGAAGCAGCUCUUGACUAAAGCUUUCCAAGAGGGCAAAACCUACGGUACCAGUCCACACUGAGUGGACCUCUGGGGCUCCCAACUGCCGAUUGACCUGAACCCCAGAGUGAACUCGUGUUGCUUUGUGGCUUUAGGAAACCUUGUAACAUCUCUGUGCUGUUUUUUCAUAUGUGCUAAAUCAUUCCUGAGGCCUCCUCCUCCUGCUGCAGUUUGACAAGCCUUGACCAAAUCAUAAACUCCCAGUUAAUGGGAUAAAAAUGAGCUUGAAUCUGGGAUUCUGGUCAUUAACCCCAUGUCACCAUCUGGUCCAGCAGUUUGAUGGCAGGGCUAGGUGAAUUCUAAUCACCCAACACUUGUUAAACUGCAGAUUCCUGCUUCCCCACCCCUGCUGACUCAGCAUCUCUGGGGUGGGGCCUACAAAGGCUCUCUUCCUUGAUGGGGUUAUUGAGGGCAGCUCUGGUAACCCACCCAGGACCAGACCUGAUGAGGAGUUUCUCCUAUGCAUCAGGCACGCCGGAUCUGUUUGCGGAGUUUCAUACUUGGAUUUUCCUCUGCCUGGAGAGUUCCUUGCAGCUGGCUUCUUCUGUGUCAUGGCCCCAGAGAGGUCUUGGCUGGUCUCCCUAUCUCCACCCUCCACCAUGCUCACUAUUCCAUUACAAGUUUCCUUUUCUACCCAGUACUAAUCAUUUUCUGCAGUUCAUCUCAUCUCCUUGUGAACUAUCUGUUGGUCCCACCAGAAAGUAAGUCUCCACCUAGGGGCAGAGACCCUGCCUGGCUUGUUAGAAGCUAUAUCCCCAGGAUUGAAGCAUAUGAGAGAUGCUCAGAAAUAUAAAAAUUAAUGAACAAAUGAA